GGCAGCCCAGCCCUUCCCUCUUCCUAAGACGCCCUUGUGUGGGGUGAGGGCGUCUCUGAACACUGGCGGCGGUGGAAGAGCAGAAAUGGCAACUGUCAGUUCCAUCCGCAAAACAAGCAUUUCAUCAACAGCCCACUUGAGGCGCCUACGCGGAACUGGCCACUGUGCUUGCCCUGGGGGAUGGGCAGUCUCUGAGGGCAGAAAGAAACUCUUAUCCAGGAGAUGGAGACCCUCUUACUGUCGUCGAGAAUGAGCAUCUCUUGGAGUCUGUGUAUGCGAUGGAAGCACUGAAAGGAAGGGAUUAUUAACUACAAGCUUUUGUUAUUCUGUAAUUUGGAUGGAGCAUUUGAGUUUAACGAGGUGAGCUUCCAUGCUUGGGGAACCAGAAUGCUUCUACAUGCAACCGAGCAGAGCCCUGAGCUCCUUGAGGACAAAGCUCCUUUGUUCAGGAUCUCACUCUGCAUCCUUCAUUUGGCUGUUAAUUUGCAUCCUUUAUCAUAUCCUGUAAUAAACUGGUAA